rnacentral:rRNA from 1 species
UACGGGAGGCAGCAGUGAGGAAUAUUGGACAAUGGGCGGAAGCCUGAUCCAGCCAUGCCGCGUGAGUGAAAAAGGCCUUAGGGUUGUAAAGCUCUUUCACCCGUGAAGAUGAUGACGGUAGCGGGAGAAGAAGCCCCGGCUAAUUCCGUGCCAGCGACCGCGGUAAU